GACGAACGCUGGCGGCGUGCUUAGCACAUGCAAGUCGAACGGAAAGGCCUCUUUCGGGGGGUACUCGAGUGGCGAACGGGUGAGUAACACGUGAGUAACCUGCCCUUGACUUUGGGAUAACUUCAGGAAACUGGGGCUAAUACCGGAUAGGAGCUCCUGCUGCAUGGUGGGGGUUGGAAAGUUUCGGCGGUUGGAGAUGGACUCGCGGCUUAUCAGCUUGUUGGUGGGGUAGUGGCUUACCAAGGCUUUGACGGGUAGCCGGCCUGAGAGGGUGACCGGCCACAUUGGGACUGAGAUACGGCCCAGACUCCUACGGGAGGCAGCAGUGGGGAAUAUUGCACAAUGGGUGGAAGCCUGAUGCAGCAACGCCGUGUGCGGGAUGACGGCCUUCGGGUUGUAAACCGCUUUCGCUCAUGACGAAGCUUUGUGUGACGGUAGUGGGUAAAGAAGCACCGGCUAACUACGUG
rnacentral:rRNA from 1 species